rnacentral:rRNA from 1 species
GACGUAGGGUGCGAGCGUUGUCCGGAUUAUUGGGCGUAAAGAGCUCGUAGGCGGCUUGUCGCGUCGACCGUGAAAACUUGGGGCUCAACCCCAAGCCUGCGGUCGAUACGGGCAGGCUAGAGUUCGGUAGGGGGAGACUGGGAAUCCUGGUGUAGCGGUGAAAUGCGCAGAUAUCAGGAAGAACACCGGUGGCGAAGGCGGUUUCUCUGGGCAUGAUCUGACGCUGGAGGAGCGAAAGUGUGGGAGGCGAACAGG